rnacentral:rRNA from 1 species
GAUGAACGCUAGCGACAGGCCUAACACAUGCAAGUCGAGGGGCAGCAUGAAAUUAGCUUGCUAAUUUUGAUGGCGACCGGCGCACGGGUGAGUAACACGUAUGCAACCUGCCUGUAAGCGGGGGAUAACCCGGAGAAAUUCGGACUAAUACCGCAUAAUAUCAUUAAUUCGCAUGUUUUAAUGAUUAAAAAUUUAUUGCUUACAGAUGGGCAUGCGUAUGAUUAGCUAGUUGGCGGGGUAACGGCCCACCAAGGCGACGAUCAUUAGGGGUUCUGAGAGGAAGGUCCCCCACAUUGGAACUGAGACACGGUCCAAACUCCCACGGGAGGCAGCAGUGAGGAAUAUUGGUCAAUGGACGCAAGUCUGAACCAGCCAUGUCGCGUGAUGGAUGACUGUCCUAUGGAUUGUAAACUUCUUUUAUAUGGGGAUAAAGUGUGAGACUUGCCUCAUUUUGCAUGUACCAUAUGAAUAAGCAUCGGCUAACUCCGUGCCAGCCGCCGCGGUAAAAC